UACAGAGGUCCCAAGCGUUGUUCGGAUUCAUUGGGCGUAAAGGGUGCGUAGGCGGCGCGGUAAGUCGGGUGUGAAAUCUCGGAGCUUAACUCCGAAACUGCAUUCGAUACUGCCGUGCUUGAGGACUGGAGAGGAGACUGGAAUUUACGGUGUAGCGGUGAAAUGCGCAGAUAUCGGGAGGAACACCAAUGGCGAAGGCAGCUCGCUGGGACGGUACUGACGCUGAGACGCGAAAGCGUGGGGAGCAAACAGG
rnacentral:rRNA from 1 species